UCUCAUCAUUGUGAAUUAUAUCUGAAUUCUGUUAAAGAAUUGCUAGAAAAAGAGCCAAAGCAUGAUGGCCAUGUAUUCUCUAAGAAUUUUUUUA
rnacentral:lncRNA from 1 species